rnacentral:rRNA from 1 species
UACAGAGGUCUCAAGCGUUGUUCGGAUUCAUUGGGCGUAAAGGGUGCGUAGGCGGCGCGGUAAGUCGGGUGUGAAAUCUCGGAGCUUAACUCCGAAACUGCAUUCGAUACUGCCGUGCUUGAGGACUGGAGAGGAGACUGGAAUUUACGGUGUAGCGGUGAAAUGCGUAGAUAUCGUAAGGAAGACCAGUGGCGAAGGCGGGUCUCCUGGACAGUUCCUGACGCUGAGGCACGAAGGUCAGGGGAGCAAACGGG